ensembl:lncRNA
CGAAAAUCGGAAAUGACGUCACACCGGGUAAACAUUCUUCCGGCGUAGUCAUUUUUGUAUUGCCGUCAAUGCUAAAAUGGAUCGUUUCUUCGCCACUUCCUUGGUGGGUAUUCCCAAAUUGCGAUUCGAAGAUGUGCAGAAGAUUGUGGAGACACACUCAGCAACACCACAGCCCAGGCUGACAAAGGGGUACAAGUUUUUGUGGAGAGUUUGUACACAAUUAUCAAGAUCACCCUGGAGGCUGUUGGACAACUGGGUCUCUCAGAGCUGUAGCUGUGCUGCGGGCAAAGGCUUCUGUAGCCAUAUAACCGCUCUGCUGUUCCAGACAGCGCAUUAUGUGCAGCUGGGCCUUGAUGUGGUUCCACCUUCCCUGGCCUGUACCAGUCAACCACAGAUGUGGCACGACCUCGAACCCACGUGUGCUGUUGUGUCCUCUGUUCAAAUCAUACACUUCAGUAUUUGUCUAGAGUAUAUGAGCAUUUCCUGUAUUGUUGUUCGCCUCAGGGAAUCCAUCGAGAGGCUGUGAGUGACCUGGUGGUGAAGAAACCCAAGUCGGUGGGGAAGACUGGAGUCAAGUCCACACUCUACAGAGCGUAUGCUGAGGGAAUAUCCAGCUUGGAGUUGGUACCAUCUCAGCUGUGCUGACCUGGAAGAUGUCAGCAAUGACCUGUUCUUUAAGGCCAGUUGCUACUCUACAACAGUAGAUGAAAAACUCAUCAAUGACUGGAAUCUUCCUUGAAGGGCAUGGUGUUGGAAUCGCCUCUUGUCCAAUCCUCUGUGCUUUGCUCCAAUAAGAAUAUAUUGUGUUGAGGGGCAAAACAGACUCCCAAAACACUUGAAACACUUCUUGAGAUGGAAACCGAGAAUAAUAUGUCAUGGUCUGAUCAGACACACAAAACCUGUUGAGGACAGUUUGUGGACCCAUGGACAUUUCUUGCAGCCUUGCCUCCAGCUCAGCAAUAUACUCCAGGGCAUCAUCCAGUGCACCUACAAAAAAAGAAGACAAAUCAGUCUUCAUUACCAUUCAUUCGUAUUCACCCUUUCUUUUUUAUUGUAUUGUUAUUCGGUAUACUUAAGUUUAUUUAUAUUUCUUAUUAUUACAUUUAUUUGUACUGUUUUCUGUUUUUCUUUUUUAUGUAUUAACUAUAGGUGGAGUGUACAUAGAGUAAAGAUAGGCCUAUUGUCCUCUGGUCGAAGAAGAAUCGCGACGGCGCCCUCUAGUGGCUAGUCCUGAAUAACACCGGGGUGGGCCAUUCAUUCUGUCCCAUUUCAUGAAACCACACCGGUCAUCGAUGUUAGAAAGUGUCUUACAAUGUGUUGCUCCCCUUCCCAUUUAAUUUCACUUCUAAUAUUUUGUCUUAUUCAUUAGAAGUCAUUACAAAAGACCUUCAGUUACUUGCACAGGAUGUAGGCAGAGCUCCUCUGCCACCAACUCAACUCCUACAAAGAUCAAAAGAAGAUCUGGUAGUUCAUAAAUGGCAACAAUAUUGCCAUUAUAAUAUUGUUGCCGCAGAUCUUUAAAAGAUGGAGCAAGGGAAACCAGAUGCCAGGAAGGUACCAGCCGCCCGCUGGUGACUCUGGAUGCACCUCUCGGAACGUCGGCCUUG